UAUUUUCCAGAAACUUGUUUAUGGUAAAGGUAGUGAGUAAUUUCCAUCCUGUGCAUGUUAGAAGUCUGAUUUGGUUCAGAAAUUCUUAUUGAUCAUUUAGGACUCUUCUCAUUAUUGACAAAUGGAUAUCUGAGAGGUUUAAUAGAACUUUUGACUUCAAAGUAUUUUUUGCUUGCAUUAACAUUUCUCCAUUAAUACUCAUUUUACUGUCAUGAUUAUCCUGGUAGACAGGGCAGCUUGCUUUAUUGCAGGAAAAUUUGUCAUUAGCUUGUAUCAUGUAAGCUGUGACCAUCAUCUGCAGUAAAAUAUCGUGAGCUAUAUAGUGAAGCAAUUAUGUUUACAACCUAUGCCAAAAUGGGGGUCAUCAUCACAAAAUUAUCUUUUCAAACAUCUUAGUGAUCCCUUCUCUAGCUGAUGGCUGUUCUUCAACCUGGUGCAUCAUGUAACGCGUUUGGCCUCUUGGCUUUGUGUCAAGGCAUUAUUGC